rnacentral:lncRNA from 1 species
ACCAACCAAAGGUCUCAUCUGGAAGAGUAGUUCCAAUAGGUCCAUGGUCUGAUCAAUAAUUUAGGUUCAGGUUCCUGGGGGACAUUAAAGUGAUUACAAUCUGAGCAUGUGGACUUCUGGCCUUCUCAACUCAUCCUGCAGAAACCACCUUUCAGCCAUAUGCUGUCCUUGAUGCCAAGCUGAAGGCCACUGGAAAUGUCAGACCUAAGAUUAUUGAAAACACAGAUUUGGACUGUCUGGGAAUUUGGCAAAGGUUGCUCUGCAGUGUGAUCUCAAUUCAUUUGGCAACUGGUAUAGCACAGUCUGAAACGAAGUUUGCUUAAUCUGUCCUCAAACCUGAGUGU